GUGGGGAAUAUUGGACAAUGGGCGAAAGCCUGAUCCAGCCAUGCCGCGUGUGUGAAGAAGGCCUUUUGGUUGUAAAGCACUUUAAGCGAGGAGGAGGCUGCCGAGAUUAAUACUCUUGGAUAGUGGACGUUACUCGCAGAAUAAGCACCGGCUAACUCUGUGCCAGCAGCCGCGGUAAUACAGAGGGUGCGAGCGUUAAUCGGAUUUACUGGGCGUAAAGCGUGCGUAGGUGGCCAAUUAAGUCAAAUGUGAAAUCCCCGAGCUUAACUUGGGAAUUGCAUUCGAUACUGGUUGGCUAGAGUAUGGGAGAGGAUGGUAGAAUUCCAGGUGUAGCGGUGAAAUGCGUAGAGAUCUGGAGGAAUACCGAUGGCGAAGGCAGCCAUCUGGCCUAAUACUGACACUGAGGUGUGAAAGCAUGGGGAGCAAACAGGAUUAGAAACCCUUGUAGUCC
rnacentral:rRNA from 1 species